rnacentral:tRNA from 1 species
AGGUGUAGCUCAGUUUGGUAGAGUGCUUGCUUUGGGAGCAAGAUGCCGCAAGUUCGAAUCUUGUCACCU